CUCUCUAGAAAUUCUGCAAUUCCUUUCCGCCAUUUUCAAGCCAGUCGAAGAAAAAGGUCUCGCCUUUGGAUUCGGCCCCCCACCACCACCACCACCACCGAUGCCUUCGAGCAAGAAGAAGCACUCCCGGUCUCAGCUGAGGUCGCCGCCGCGGCCGCGGCGAAGCUCGGACCCUUGCGCGUCCCCUCGGACGCCGUCUCCGGCCUCCUCCUCUUUGGCGGACUCGGAAGUCGCCGAGGACGAUAUCCCCGUCGCCCUCCGGGCGGCUUCCGCCAGAUUCCCGCGCCUGAUCCGCGAAUCCGCUUUCGUCGGCCGGGUCUCCGACGCGGCGGACGCGGAGGCCAAGGGCUGCAAGAUUUGGCUCUCGGAGCCUGCCAUGGUGGCUUCAUCCAUCGCGCCCGGUUCAAUCGUGUCGGUGUGCCUUGCUUCUUCAAGAAGUCAAAUUUCACUUGGUAUCCCUUUAUGCUCAUUUGCUGAUGAAUGUGCUAGACAUACUGGGAUUAAUCCCGGGAACAAAAUGACAAAUGAAGCUGGGGAUUUCUUUGCUCUUGCCACUGUGUUUCCUUCUUCUAAGGUUCUUAGGAAUGGAGUGCGAUUAUCAUUAAAUCUUUCAUAUACGAUGGGGUGUCCCACUUCAGGUAGAGUUCUGUUUGUCUUUCCAGUACAGAGUUGGAUCUCUGGUGGUCUGGUCAAUGGGAUUGACAAAUUGCAGCACCACAGUCUUGGCUUAUUCGCAAUACAGAAUUGUGAGGAAUUGUGCUUGGAGCUGGCUUCUAGAAAGGAGUUCACAACAAAUAAAAGGGCACUGUCUCUAGUGAAACCUGCUGGUGAGAUACCUCUCGAUGAAAAUGUAACUUUUGGAUCUCCUAGGACGCCGGUCUAUCAGUCAAAGAUGAGCUCUCCUGCACAUGAUCAAUUUCGUUCACCAUUAUCACUAUCAAGUUCAACCAGUCAGAUGUGUCCAGUGGUUAAUUCAUAUGAUAUUGUCCAGCUGUUGGAAGAUGAAAGCACCAAGAACCUUUUGCAGGCAUGCACCAAAUCAUGGCUGUGUUCUCGUUUUCUGCUUCAAGGGAACCUGGUGGUCAUCCCAAUACUUUCCAAGCUUUGGCUUUUCCACGUGAUUGGUGCUCGACAACCAUCUGAUCGUAAGCAUCAAUCCAUUAUAGACCAAAGUACUGAAGGUUCAUCCCCCAACAUUUCCCAAUCGCCAGACUAUGUUAUUCAUGCUUUCAGUGUGACGAGCAGAACAAACAUACAUCUGUCUUCUCCUAUGAACAUGACACUAGUAACUCCAUCUGUGACGGGAUCACUUGUUGGGAAGCUUGAGCAUACAUAUUGUAAAGCUAACACCAAAGGUGAUGACAUUAAAUUGGGUGGAUUGUGUAAAGAGUAUACUGAUUUGAAGGAUAUAAUUACUUCCUCUAUUUCGAAGGACCCUAUAUCAAGGUUUGGUCUGCGGCCUACGAAAGGAGUGCUUCUUCACGGUCCACCAGGUACAGGAAAGACAUCUUUGGCUCAACUAUGUGCCCACGAUGCUGGUGUUAAUUUAUUCUUGGUGAAUGGACCUGAAAUUGUGAGACAGUAUUAUGGUGAAAGUGAGCAAGCCUUGCGAGAAGUUUUUGAUUCUGCUAGCCAUGCUACCCCUGCUGUGGUUUUCAUAGAUGAGUUGGAUGCUAUUGCACCUGCUCGAAAAGAUGGAGGGGAAGAACUUUCUCAUAGAAUGGUUGGUACAUUAUUGAGUUUAAUGGACGGGAUUAAUAAAACUGAUAAACUCCUUGUCAUUGCUGCAACAAAUAGACCAGAAAGUAUUGAGCCUGCCUUAAGGCGUCCUGGUCGGUUUGACAGGGAAAUUGAAAUAGGUGUCCCAUCUUCCAAGCAAAGAUUUGAAAUACUAUUUACACUUCUCGGUCUAAUGGAACAUUCACUCUUGGAAUCACAAAUUCAACAACUGGCAAUGUCUACACAUGGUUUUGUGGGUGGUGAUCUGGCAGCCCUUUGCAAUGAAGCAGCAUUGGUAUGCCUCAGGCGCUAUAAUUGUUUUAAGAAGUCACAGGGAGAGUCUUAUUCUAAAUCACAGAUGGAUUUUGAGUUUAGUGCUAAUGUUGCAACAGAAGAAUCUAGUUCUUUGGGGGAUAUAAGAGAUGCGAGGCAGGAUUAUUUACGUUCUUUGUCCACAUUACUUGUUUCCUCGGAUAUAUCACCAUCUUCCGUGCCCAAGCAAACUGUCACAGAAAAGGAAGAUGGGAUGCAGUGCCCUAGAGGUUUAGUGGACAGAAAUUGUACGCUGACCGUAGCUUUUGAGGACUUUGAGAAGGCCAGAAUGAAAGUGAGGCCUAGUGCUAUGAGAGAGGUGAUACUCGAGGUACCAAAGGUCAAAUGGGAAGAUGUUGGUGGGCAAAGAGAAGUUAAAACUCAACUAAAGGAAGCAGUGGAGUGGUCUCAAAAACAUCAUGAUGCCUUAAGUCGCAUAGGGACCCGCCCUCCCAGAGGUGUAUUAUUGUUUGGUCCUCCUGGUUGUAGCAAAACCCUCAUGGCUCGUGCAGUUGCCUCUGAAGCUGGGCUGAAUUUCAUUGCAGUAAAGGGCCCAGAACUCUUCAAUAAAUGGGUUGGGGAAUCUGAGAAGGCCGUAAGAUCUGUCUUUGCAAAAGCAAGGGCUAAUGCUCCAUCAAUCAUAUUUUUUGACGAAAUUGAUGGACUUGCAAAUAUUCGUGGAAACGAAAGUGAUGGUGUUUCAGUUUCGGAUAGAGUUAUAAGUCAGCUUCUUAUUGAACUAGAUGGACUGCAGCAGAGAGUUGAUGUCACCGUUAUUGGUGCGACCAAUAGGCCCGAUAAUAUUGAUCCAGCCCUGUUAAGACCAGGACGCUUUGAUAGGCUGCUAUACGUCGGACCUCCAAAUGAGGCAGAUAGGCAAGAAAUAUUCUGCAUCCAUCUACGUAAAGUCCCUUGCAGUUUGGAUGUGGACAUAAAGGAGUUGGCUCAUCUCACCGAAGGCUGUACAGGGGCUGACAUAGCACUCAUCUGCCGGGAGGCUGCAGUUGCAGCUAUGGAGGAGGAUCUUGACGCUUUGGAAGUGGCAAUGAAGCAUUUCAGAAACGCAAUAAAUCAAGUGCGUCCAUCGGCAGUCGAGUCUUACGAAGAGCUUUCGACUCAAUUUCAGAGGCUCGUUUUAUCCAGACAUAAAUGAGAUCCAAAAUCAAGGUCUUUGGUCGAUUCCACGUCCAUCAUGUCCUGAGUUCCUGCUCUAGAAUAGACCUCCGUUCACUGUCUGGAAAAUGGGAAUCUUGGUUGAUCGAUGGCAACGCUUUCGGAUGCUUGUUUCCCACUCUACCGAAUGCAAGCAUCUUCGUCCUCGACAUCGAUAAACUGCAAUCAUAUGAAAAAUAAUUUCUUUUUAGAAAUUAAUUAGACAGCACAUGACGGACAGUAACGUAGUAUAUGCAAACAGCUUGAUGUUUAUAGUAUUCAUUGUGAUCUGCUGCCCAUUAUUUAAGUGAAAUGAUUGUAAAGGGGUCAACUUUUAGUAUACAUGCAACGAUGUACCUCUUAAUUCAGCCAAUAUAAAAAGAAAUUUUGGGAUGAA